rnacentral:lncRNA from 1 species
GUUUUUCUUUUAAUGGGAGUUUUGGGUAUCGAUUUAUAUGGUUUUAAUGAGCCAACAUUAUAUUUAGAAAUAUCAACCAAUUAGUCCUAUCGUGUAGCCUUGGAAAUAAUAUUUUAUAUUUGAUUUUUUAUUGCUUUUGCUGUCAAAUUGUCGAUUAUACCCUUAUAUACAUGAUUACCAGAUACCCAUGGAGAAGUACAUUAUAGUACUUUUGUGUUUCUAGCCGGAAUCUUAUUGAAAAUGGGAGCAUAUGGAUUAGUCUAGAUCAAUAUGGAAUUAUUACCCCAUUUCUCCUUGGUCAAUAACAGUAGGCACAAUGCAAAUAAUUUAUGCAACUUCAACAUCUAUCGGUCAACAGAAUUUAGAGAGAGAGGCAUAUUCCUUUGUAUCUCAUAUGGUUUUAUAAUUAUAGCAAUUGGUUGUAAAAUCAAUACCAAGGCUCUAUGGAGCCCUUUUACAAAUAAUCUCUCAUGGACUCACGGGUACUGCACUUUCUUUCGUGGCAGUAUUGACUUAUUAUAGAAUACGUCUUGCUUGUCUUGAUGAAAUGGGUGAAAUGGCUAUCCUAAUUCCAGAAAUAUUCAUCAUGUUCAAUAAAUUUUCGAUGGCCUUCCUUGCAUUACUAGGUGUGAGUGAUUUUGCUAUUGAACUAAUAGUAUUUUUUGAACUAAUUACCAGUUAAAAGUAACUUUUAAUGCCAAAAAUAUUAAUUACUUUUUUAAUGGCAAUUGGAAUGAUAACUCCUAUUUAUUCAUUAUUUAUGUCAAUCUCUAUCUUUUUACCCAUAUUAGGUUUUGU